rnacentral:rRNA from 1 species
AUGUCGGUCUUUAAAAUUCCUAAAAAAAAUUGCAAAGGAAUCAUCGAUGCAAUAGCGCAUUUCUGGUGGGGAGACGAGGAGAAUCAGAGGAGAAUGCACUGGAUGGCCUGGUGGAAAUUAUGUGUACCAAAAAAUCAAGGAGGGAUGGGAUUUCGUGAUAUUCACUGUUUCAAUUUGGCAUUGUCAGCCAAACAAGCAUGGCGUCUUUUGGAUAAUCCUGAUUCUUUGUGUGCUUCUAUCCUAAGGGCAAAAUAUUACCCCCAUGGUGAUCUGUUAAAUGCUAAGCUCAAGAAAGGUUCUUCCUCUACAUGGCAAAGCAUCAUGGCAGGCAUAAAUACUCUGAAAUGUGGUUAUAUUUGGUGUGUGGGGAACGGACAAAACAUUAAUAUUUGGGAAGAUGCCUGGAUCCCAAACUAUGCCACUAGGAAAAUUGUAACGCCUAAGGGAGGUAACCUGUUAACUAAAGUAGGUGAUCUCAUUGAUCCUGUCUAUAAUACUUGGGAUGAAGACCUGAUUAGGCAAACUAUGUGGCCGAUCGAUGUAUAA